CAUCCCGCCCCACCCCUGCCCACGCCCGUCGUACGGGCAUGCUGAUCAGGCCACGGUAGAAAUUGGUGAAGGUGCUAUGUGUGUGUAUAGGAGAGUGGACGACAUUUGCAUCGUGCAUGUGUUGGCGCAUUGCAUGGUCGAAGGUGCGAAAUUGAGCUCUUGCUGAGCCUGUUCACAAGUCAUGGAGAUUAGAAAGCGGAUGAGCUAACCGCUACAUAGCUGAUACAGAGCUGACUGUUUGCCUGUGAGUCCGUUGCCCUGUCCAUCUC
rnacentral:lncRNA from 1 species